GACGAACGCUGGCGGCGUGCCUAAUACAUGCAAGUCGAGCGAAUCUGAUUGAAGCUUGCUUCAAUCAGAUUAGCGGCGAACGGGUGAGUAACACGUGGGCAACCUGCCCUUAAGAUCGGAAUAACUCCGGGAAACCGGAGCUAAUACCGAAUAGGAGUUAGAGAAGCAUUUCUCAAACUGGAAAGUUGGCGCAAGCUAACACUUAAGGAUGGGCCCGCGACGCAUUAGCUAGUUGGUGGGGUAAAGGCUCACCAAGGCAACGAUGCGUAGCCGACCUGAGAGGGUGAUCGGCCACACUGGGACUGAGACACGGCCCAGACUCCUACGGGAGGCAGCAGUAGGGAAUCUUCGGCAAUGGACGAAAGUCUGACCGAGCAACGCCGCGUGAGUGAAGAAGGUUUUCGGAUCGUAAAGCUCUGUUGUAGGGGAAGAAAAACCAGUAGUUAAAUAAGCUAUUGGGUUGACGGUACCCUAUUAGAAAGCCACGGCUAACUACGUGCCAGCAGCCGCAGUAAAC
rnacentral:rRNA from 1 species